AUUGAACGCUGGCGGCAGGCCUAACACAUGCAAGUCGAACGGUAACAGGAAACAGCUUGCUGUUUCGCUGACGAGUGGCGGACGGGUGAGUAAUGUCUGGGAAACUGCCUGAUGGAGGGGGAUAACUACUGGAAACGGUAGCUAAUACCGCAUAACGUCGCAAGACCAAAGAGGGGGACCUUCGGGCCUCUUGCCAUCGGAUGGGCCCAGAUGGGAUUAGCUAGUAGGUGGGGUAACGGCUCACCUAGGCGACGAUCCCUAGCUGGUCUGAGAGGAUGACCAGCCACACUGGAACUGAGACACGGUCCAGACUCCUACGGGAGGCAGCAGUGGGGAAUAUUGCACAAUGGGCGAAAGCCUGAUGCAGCCAUGCCGCGUGUAUGAAGAAGGCCUUCGGGUUGUAAAGUACUUUCAGCGGGGAGGAAGGGAGUAAAGUUAAUACCUUUCCUCAUUGACGUUACCCGCAGAAGAAGCACCGGCUAACUCCGUG
rnacentral:rRNA from 1 species